UGUUGUUUUCUCAUUGAAUCGUGGUGGAACAACAGUAGCGGAAGAACAGGCCAACUGCAUUAUCGCUCGAGAUAAGAGAAAGUUGACAUUAUUUUUCUAUUUGCAUUCAUGAAAUUUCGUGCCUGAUUGAUUUCGAUAUGUUUUUUUAAAAUUAUUUUUAUGUAGAGAAAGUCAAGCUUGGUGUGUGCGUUUAUGGCCGCCAUCAUCGUCCGAGAAAAACUGUAUCCUCGGGGAGCACUGGACAAUCAUCGUCGGGAACACAAGAAAGAAAAAUAAAAACAUACCGCCUUGAAUGUCCGAAGGCUACCAGGUGGAUUCAAACGAAAUUAGCGUGAGUAGCAGGCGGUAAUAAUAAUAUUCAUGCGAUGCUGACGUUCCCCGUGUGUUCCCGCAACGGCCAAUUUCUUCACGGUGAAUCCACGCCAUCUAUCGCCAAUUUCGUUCUUUAAAAAAAACGUACGGAAAACAAACGGCAUUUCAUGCCGAUCGAGAGUGAUCAUCACGUUACCCUAUGAAAACAGGAAUUAGUAAUUAACAUAGCGGUGCCGUGAAAGAAAAGAGGGGAGAUGUUUGAAUGGAGUGGCAGGUCUACAAGACAUUGAAAUUGCUAUUUAAAAACGAAAAGAAGGCUGGAUGGGUCGUGGCGCUGACCACCCGCGAAUCUUGUCUAUCAUCAUCAGCAGCACAUUUUCACGUAAUAGAAUUAUUCAUAGCACAUCACGCGCUUCUUUCUAAAUUGUUUUCGUCGCCCCCCCCCCCCCUUGCGUGCGCUGACCGCAUUUAAUUCAUUUUUCACCGUGUUCCAUAUCAAACGCGUCUCUCUACCGCUUGAUUUUUUUUCCCCCCAACUGGAACACGAAGAACAAAAAGAUUUGCCGACGUCAUUGUUUGUUGUGUGUUACCAUGUCAUUGGCCAUUUUCUUGAGCUGCACAGUCAUGGGGGGGGGGGAUGAAACCUUCAUUUUUUUUGGCAAUCUUCUUUUGCUGUUCAACUUUGAUCGAUUGGCCUGAUGUUCUUUUUGGCGGCUUCCCAGUUUAGUGUGAAACAAGCGAACCUCGCGCUCAUCUUUCAUCUUUUCUUUUUGUUUUGUUAACGUGAUCUUUUUUGUUUCUUAGUGGACCGCGUGAUCCCAAACGUUUUCCAAUAA